GACGAACGCUGGCGGCGUGCCUAAUACAUGCAAGUCGAACGCAGUUGCGAACGGGUGAGUAACGCGUAGGUAACUGCCUGGUAGCGGGGGAUAACUAUUGGAAACGCUAGCUAAUACCGCAUACUACCAGCUGGACCUGCGUUGUAUUAGCUAGUUGGUGAGGUAACGGGCCCCCAAGGCAACGAUACAUAGCCGACCUGGGAGGGUGAUCGGCAACACGUGGAAUGAGACACGGCCCAGACUCCCACGGGAGGCAGCAGUAGGGAAUCUUCGGCAAUGGGGGGAAACCUGACCGAGCAACGCCGCGGGAGUGAAGAAGGUUUUCGGAUCGUAAAGCUCUGUUGUUAAGGAAGCGGUACUUAAACAGAAAGGGACGGCUAACUACGUGCCAGCAGCCGCGGUAAUAC
rnacentral:rRNA from 1 species